AGGGCGGGACUUCUGGCGUCUUCGCAGCGGUCAUUUUGGCUGCCCUCCCGGAGGUCCGUUCUGUCUGUCAGCCGCUUUGGUACGCUGCAUCGGGAUCGAAGUGACGGACCGUGAAGGCGCGAGAGUCAGGUCUGAGGGUCGGGGGCAGAGCCGCCCGCGAGGCUGGCCUGGGGAUAGCGGUGCUCGGGUUCCCCCCGGGUCGCCCGCAGCUCCCGGUCCAGCUCCGCCCACAGACUCGGAUGGCGACCGCACUGAGGGACCCGGCUUCGGUUCCCAUAGCUACAGAGGUGCUUUUCAAACUUACACAGGUAAGUGGAGGUAUCUCAGCCCCUCACUGGUCUGGAAUGUCCCUCCACCCUCCCCAGACAGAUAUUUUCUUUAGAUUUGUGGUGCCAUGGGACUCACCUACCAUUCUCUCAGCGUUUGGUUUGGGAACCCUGGAGAAUCCCUGAGCUAAGGGCCCUGAGUCCAGGCCAGUGUUUCCAUUUGGAGCAGCCAAUGGAAAGAUGGGUGAAAAUUUAUGAUAGGAA
rnacentral:sRNA from 1 species